rnacentral:lncRNA from 1 species
GAUGGCUGAGGAAGAGCAAAAUUUCAACUUGACAAUCACAGAUGACUGCUGAAGCAGAUACAACCACUGAGGCAAAAAUCUGAUUGCAAGGAACCUGAACUCCCUGACUUGAACACCUGCAAAGGACAGGGAUUAGGGCCCUUAGGUACACUACUCUGCACCCAGGAGUUACAAAUCACUAACACUCUGAACUGUGACUUUUCUGGCGUCCCAUUCAGAUGAUUUUUAUGAUGUAUGUGGUUUUUAUUUGCUCUGUGGGCUUGCACAAGCCAUCCUAAGACCUUCAUGGUAAAAUUUCAAUCCUGUCUCAAAUUGACAGUUUAAACCCUUAAUAAAGCCUUAUAUUUUAAAGCACACAUACACACACACACAUACAUGUCAGGCCUCUGAACCCAAGCCAAGCCAUCGCAUCCCCUGUGACUUGCAUGUAUAUGCCCAGAUGGCCUGAAGUAACUGAAGAAUCACAAAAGAAGUGAAAACGCCCUGCCCCGCCUUAACUGAUGACAUUCCACCAUUGUGAUUUGUUCCUGCCCCACCUUAGCUGAGUGAUUAACCCUGUGAAUUUCCUUCUCCUGGCUCAGAAGCUCCCCGACUGAGCACCUUGUGACCCCCGCCCCUGCCCACCAGAGAACAACCCCCUUUGACUGUAAUUUUCCAUUACCUUCCCAAAUCCUAUAAAACGGCCCCACCCCUAUCUCCCUUCGCUGACUCUCUUUUCGGACUCAGCCCGCCUGCACCCAGGUGAAAUAGACAGCCAUGUUGCUCACACAAAGCCUGUUUGCUGGUCUCUUCACACUGACUCGAGUGAAAUUUGGUGCCGUGACUAGGAUCGGGGGACCUCCCUUGGGAGAUCAAUCCCCCGUCCUCCUACACUUUGCUCUGUGAGAAAGAUCCACCUACAACCUCAGGUCCUCAGACCAACCAGCCCAAGAAACAUCUCACCAAUUUCAAAUCCGGUAAGCGGCCUCUUUUUACUCUUUUCUCCAGCUUCCCUCACUGUCCCUCAACCUCUUUCUCCUUUCAAUCUUGGUGCCACACUUCAAUCUCUCCCUUCUCUUAAUUUCAAUUCCUUUCAUUUUCUGGUAGAGACAAAGGAGACACGUUUUAUCCGUGGACCCAAAACUCCGGCGCCAGUCACGGACUGGGAAGGCAGCCUUCCCUUGGUGUUAAAUCACUGCAGGGACGCCUCUCUGAUUAUUCACCCAUGUUUCAAAGGUGUCAGACCACGCAGGGACGCCUGCCUUGGUCCUUCACCCUUAGUGGCAAGUCCUGCUUUUCUGGGGAAGGGGCAAGUACCCCAACCCCUUCUCUCUGUGUCUCUACCCCUUCUCUGCUUUUCUGGGGGAGGGGCAAGUACCCCUCAACCCCUUCUCCUUCACCCUUAGUGACAAGUCCUGCUUUUCUAGGAGGCAAGAACCCCCAAUCCCUUAUUUCCACACCCUGACCUCUUAUCUCUGUGCCCCAAUCCCUUAUUUCCACACCCCAACCUCUUAUCUCUGUGCCCCAAUCCCUUAUUUCCGUGCCCCAACCCCCCUUCCCACUUUUCUGGAGGAUAAGAACCCCCGAACCCCUUCCCUCCGUGUCUCUAUGCUCUCUUUUCUCUGGGUUUGCCUCCUUCACUAUGGGCAACCUUCCACCUACCAUUCCUCCUUCUUCUCCUUUAGCCUAUAUUCUUAAGAAUUUAAAACCUCUUCAACUCUCACCUGACCUAAAAUCUAAGCAUCUUAUUUUCUUCUGCAAUGCCACUUGACCCCAAUACAAACUUGACAGUAGUUCCAAAUAGCCAGAAAAUGGCACUUCCAAUUUUUCCAUCCUACAAGAUCUAAAUAAUUCUUUUCGUAAAAUGGGCAAAUGGUCUGAGGUGCCUGACAUCCAGGCAUUCUUUUACACAAUAGUCCCUUCCUAGUCUCUGUGCCCAGUGCAACUUCUCCCAAAUCUUCCUUCUUUCCCUCCUGCCUGUCCCCUCAGUCCCAACCCCAAGCAUCGCUGAGUCUUUCUAAUCUUCCUUUUCUACAGACCCAUCUGACCUCUCCCCUCCUUGCCAGGCCAAGCUACGUCCCAAUUCUUCCUCAGCCUCCGCUCCUCCACCCUGCAAUCUUUUUAUCACCUCCCCUCCUCACACCUGGUCCUGCUUACAGUUUCAUUCUGUGACUAGCCCUCCCCCACCUGCCCAGCAAUUUACUCUUAAAAAAGUGGCUGGAGCCAAAGGCAUAGUCAAGGUUAAUGCUCCUUUUUCUUUAUGCCAAAUCAGAAGUGUUUAGGCUCUUUUUCAUCAAAUAUAAAAACCCAGCCCAGUUCAUGGCUCGUUUGGCAGCAACCCUGAGACGCUUCACAGCCCUAGACCCUAAAAGGUCAAAAGGCCAUCUUAUUCUCAAUAUACAUUUUAUUACCCAAUCUGCUCCUAACAUUAAAUAAAACCCCAAAAAUUGGAAUCUGGUCCUCAAACCCCACAACAGGACUUAAUUAACCUCACCUUCAAGGUGUACAAUAAUAAAAAAAAGUUGCAAUUCCUUGCCUCCACUGUGAGACAAAGCCCAGCCACAUCUCCAGCACACAAGAACUUCCAAACCCCUGAACUGCAGCAGUCAGGCAUUCCUCCAGAACCUCCUCCCCCAGGAGCUUGCUACAAGUGCCAGAAAUCUGACCACCAGGCCAAGGACUGCCGGCAGCCCAGGAUUCCUCCUAAGCCACGUCCCAUCUGUGUGGGACCCCACUGCAAAUCGGACUGUUCAACUCACCUGGCAGCCACUCCCAGAGCCCCUGGAACUCUGGCCCAAGGCUCUCUGACUGACUCCUUCCCAGAUCUUCUCGGCUUAGCGGCUGAAGACUGACACUGCCCGAUUGCCUCGGAAGCCCCCUAGACCAUCAUGGACGCCGAGCUUCAGUGAUAGAUCACAACAAGAGAUCAUGAAGAGGGCAUGGCCGCCAUGUCAUUCUGGAGAGAGACAGAGUAAAACAAAGAAGGUGAUGGAGUCUUGUUCUGCAACCCAGGCUGGAGUGGAGGGCAGUGGUGUGAUCUCGGCUCACUUCAACCUCCGCCUCUUAGGUUCAAGUGAUUCUCCUGCCUCAGCCUCCCGAGUAGCUGGGACUACAGCAGCCUCUCUACAAGUCUCCUAACUUAACCUGAUGGGAAAACACUUCCUACCACUAACAGCAUCUACUUGAUUACUGAUACUUUGAUCAUGGAGUUUGGGCAUGCCACUUGAUAGAAAUUUGAAGAGCAAUUAUAUUUUUCAAAAAGAGUUUUGAAUAAUGUUAAGAUAGAUUGCAACAUGACUAUCAAUUCUUCCCUUCCCAUCAAAGGAGAGAGUCCGUUUAUCCAGCCUUUGAAUCUUGAUUAUUCAUGUGACUUGCUUCACCCAAUGUAACAUUAAUAAGCACAAUACAAGCAGAGGCUUGCCAAGAACUUGGUUUGUUUCUAAUGCUUAGAAGAAGAAUGGUGUAUGCCAUAUUUCUGCAUUUAGAACUCACGUGGAGACAUGUGUGGCCCAAUUGCUUCUCUUUCAUCUCAGGCAAUAACCAGACACGGGACUGAGGCCAUCCAUGACCAGCCAGCCCUAGCCAACACACAACACACAAGCUGAUCACAGAUGCAUGAGUAAGCCUGAGACCAGCCAAGACCAGCCUAGAAUAGAACUGCUCAGCAGCAAUAAAAACUAAAUAAAUUGUUACCUUAAGCUACUUUUAGAGCUAUUUGGAAGUGUAUUUUUGUGCAGCUAACAUUUACUAGCAGAUAAAAUGGUGAUUGUUUAUCUCUGUUUUAUUGAUGUUUUAAGGAAAUUGUUUCUAUUAAAAGGAAAUAUCUGGUCUUUGUCACGUUAAAUCAGGUUUAGCCUGAAGUUGUCUCCUUAAAUUUGCGGCACAACUCCCACCCUGCAAUACUUCAAAUUGUUUCACCUUUUUUGACAGAACCAAGGUAUAUCUUAAAUGUACUUGAUUGAUGUCUCAUGUCUCCCUAAAAUGUAUAAAACCAAACUGUGCUCUGACUACCUUGGGUACAUGUUCUGAGGGUCUCCUGAAGGCUGUGUCACAGGCCAUGGUCUUUCAUAUUUGGCUUAAAACAAAUCUCUUCAAAUAUUUUAUGUAGUUUGACUCUUUUCCUCAAUAGAACUCAUCAUUUAACCAGUUAAGUAUUUUGAGUUAGUUUGGGAUUAAACACGAGAGUUUUGACAGGGAGCUGAAACAAUAGUAGUUUCAUCAAAAGUUGAUUCUUGGUGCAUGUAAUUUUCUAUUACAGUGAACACAGAUAAUAAUGAUGCAUAUGUCUUUACCUAGAUUAGAGAAAGGAAGAGAAAAAAUAAAAAUUUUGGAAAUGAGAUAAAAAGAUAUUGAUCUCACUGAUGUUUCUGAAUCUAAGACUGAACUCAAUUAUUAGUUGUAUUUACUGCUUAUUAGAUUUACUAAGAAAGUUCUUUAAGGUACUUACAGCCCUAAAAUUAUUUGCAAUAUUCAAUAGCAAGGGACUUAAAUACAGUCCUGAUUACUCCAUCACAAAAUGCCAAAAACAAUUAGGAUCUUAAAGGAACUACCCAAAUAGGUUUAAGAUAUCACUCAGGCCAUAAAAAUGUUUUUAAAAUUCACAUCACAAAAUAGCCAAAUGACAUAUCAGAAACAAAAGCAAAAAAGUCAUCCUAAUUCAAGGCAAUUACUUUAGCAAUUCAAAAUAAAAUGUUAAAAGUGACCAAAAAACAAAUGCAAAAUAUUUUAAUGACUUUAAAUGGCUGUAUAAUUUCCUCAUCACUUCACUUGGCAGAGUUAAGAUGGCAUUUAACCUAAGUUCACAUCAUUAAAAAAAACACUGCACCAUGAUGCUUUUCUUAAUAUGCAUUCUCAAAUUAGCAUACAGAGAAAAAUGAAACUAUAGUAGAGACGUAAAUUUAAUCCCUAUUUAGGUCACUAGGCAUUUAUUAGCCCCACCACAGGUUAAUACACUUGCAUUUGCAUCUGUUUCUAAAUGCUAAUUAUCUGACCUCAGAACACUCACUUAUGGGCUUCAUUUAUUGAAAAACAAAUCCCUAUGAUUUGAUCGUAGAGUAACUUUUAAUGUCUAACUUUACGUAGUAUAUUACAGUUUUCAAAACAUUUUUAUAAAAAGUAUUUUGUUUAUUUACAGCAACUAUAUAUCAUAGAUAUUAAUGUGUAUAUUUUGCAUUUAAGCAAGUUGGAGUUCGUAAGGUUGAAUUACUUGAAAUGUACAAAUAGAUAGUAGUGAAUAUUUAAAGUACAUUUUUAAAAAUAUGACCCAGAAAAAUAGGUGGCAUUUAAGAAAUAUAAGCAUGGUAUCUAUCUUACAUGUAUAUUAGGAGUGGACAGUUUUCUAAGAUUAGAAGCAAACAGUUGUCAAGCAAGGGUUCUAAUUUUUGUAAGUCUUGUGGGAAAGAAAGAUAAUAGAGGGUUUCAUUGCAAAGAUAUAAAACUACUCUAGAUAAUUUAAGCAAAAACUAAUCUAAUAAAUUGGGUUUUCCAAAUUAUUGAAACACCUUGAGAACUAGUGCCUGGGUAGGCCUGGAGAAAUGACUCCAGGAACAGCAUUACAGAACUCACCUGCCCAGUGGUAACAGUGCCCAGAUUGCUCUUCUCCAUUAUCCAGCCAGAGUUCCAGAUCAGCCUGAAUACUUCACCUCUGGGAAGACUUUGCAGAACCUCCAGAUUUAUGCCACCUCUAUAACCUGUGUAAUAUUAUUACAAUGCAUAUUAUGUUCUAUUUCACUUACAGUCAGCCCUCCUUAUCUGUGGGUUCCACAAACAUGGAUUCAACCCACAGUAAAAUGAAAAUAUUUGGGGAAAAAAUUAAUGUUUGAGUCUGUAUUGAACACGUAGACUUUUUCUUGUCACUGUUCCCUAAACAAUACAGUAUAACAACUAUUUACAUAGUAUUUACAUUAUAUUGGGCAUUAUAAGUAAUUAAAGAUGAUUUAAGUAUAUGGAAAGAUGUAUAUAGGUUAUAUGCAAGUACUGUGCCAUUUUAUAUAAAGCACUUGAACAUCACAGAUUUUGGUAUCAAUGAGGGGUGCUGAAACCAAUUGCCCAUGGAUACCAAGAGACAGCUAUAUUUGUUUCAAUGUGUACCUCUCCUUCUAAACUCAGUUCUUAAGCAUAUAGUAUCUUUAUAGCUAUACACCUAGUGUCUAUCAGACCCUAAACUAUGGUAGGCCCUCAAUACAUUUUAUUGUUAUAGGUAGAUAGAUAGGCAUGAGUAGGGCAGGAGAGGGCUCUCCCUCCACCCACUAGAAAUGUCAAGUGAUGUUUUAAAAAUUGUCACACUGCCUCUCAGAAAAUGAUAAUUCAGCAACCGGGGAGAGACAAUCUUCUGAUGGUCCACACCUAUUAACAUUAAAGUGUUAUUAAAGGCAGACCCCAGAAAGAAGAAACUUACUGGGCAUGCACAUUAAGAGAUAAAAACGGCAAAAUAUUAUCUUCCACGUACCCACAACUGGAAAAAAGGAAGAAAGCUUCAGGUGGGCAUAUGUACUCUUCCUAAACACACUGCGCAUGCUCACUUCCCAACUGUAGAGAGGGCUCUGCACAUACGGGAAGAAUCUCGGGAAAGAGGUGAACCUAUAAAAGGCCAAGAAUCAUGGUUGAACGGGACAUUUGACCUUCUCUCUUAAACCUUCAUGUGCCUGCUUGGGUCUCUUCCAACUGCACCUUCCUUUCUUUCCUGUUCUAAGGCCUUUUUAAAUAAACUUCCACUCAUGCUCUG